UGAAGCUGCCUUUAAUUAUUUUCAUGUUCCCACAGAAACAUUGGAAGAAACAAGGACACAGGAAUUAGUACCGGUUUUAUGGGUACCUGUGUGCCUACUUUACCUACAUAUACGGCCACAGACCAGGCCUGUAUAAAAACAUGUUGGUGAAAGAGGCUAAAUGUGACCCGUCUAGGGUGUAUCUGGUCAAUAUAAGUCUAUAAAAUACAGCUGGCUGGGUUUAUUUGAUUGUUUGCUUGGUUGGUUAUUUUUGGAAACAAUUGCAGUCGCCAGAGCGUAAUGUGUAUUUUUGUGUGUUUGAGAGUAUGGCAUGGUCCAGAUGUCGCUGAGGAAAGGUUCAGACUUCCUGAAAUUCAAGCACUUUCUCUCAGGGGCAAAGAAGGCCCAGCACUUUUUAAAUUCCACAAAGAACCUGCCUGCCUACCUGAGGAAGGUGUGGAAGGAGAUGAGUCUGUCUGAAAGUCCUACCUUCACUGACCUGUGGACCUCCAUUGUCACUCAUGUAAAAAAACAUGCUCCGGAAGAUUGACAGGGAAAGGGUGGCCAACUUCAUGUGCCACAACAUCCAGUCGGCAGAGAAAUUUUAUGCCAUCAAUUUAAAUCCAUCCCAAGCCAAUGAAAUCAGGGCACUCUGAGGCUGCACUGAAGGGGGAAGAUACCACAGUCGCUGCAGAGAACCAGCCCUCCACCUCAGGAAAAAGAAAGCGGAAGGUGAGAAAGGACGCCUCCCGCUCCAAGGGGAGCACCACCCCUGAAGAGACCAAGGUGAUGUACCAGGAGUCUGGCACGUCCGCCGGGGACUUGGAGGUGGUGGAAGAGGAUGAAGAUGAGGAACAGACAGCCUCCAAUAUCCUCAGGUGAACUUACGCCAAAGCGGAAGCAGGCGCCGCAUGGUGGUCGCCAUCAGCCCCAUGCUAGUCUCACCCCUCAAAGUGAAGAUCAAGUCGCCCCACCACUCCCCCAUUGUCACAUUGAAAGGUAUGCACCAACUUAACUCAAAAAAAGUCAGACUAAAAAAGGCCUCAAGGAGGUUAAAGCUGCAGGAGAAGGUGCAAAAGGAAGGAGGGUAGCCCUGAUGCAGCUCGAAGGAAGGGGAGCCGACCUACAACAACUUCCUCUUCCGAAUACUCAUAUAGAUUGUUUGGUGUGGUUUUCUUUUUUG
ensembl:lncRNA